rnacentral:lncRNA from 1 species
AUCCAAAAAUAUUUUUGUUAUCCUAAUUUAUAAAUCACAAUCCCAAAUCUACAAUAUUUCUUAAGAAAAUGAAAACUUUCCAAAAAUACCAGUUUUUAAGAAAAUUAUUUAAAAAUACAAAAUUUUAAUAAAAAAAUCUUAAAGAAUACUCAUUUAUCCACAAAUAUUCUUGUUAUCCUAUGUUAUAUAUCAGAAUCCCAAAUCUACAAUAUUUCUCAAGAAAAUGAAAACUUUUCAAAAAUAGCAGUUUUCAAAAAAAUUAUUUAAAAAUACAAAAUAUUGAUAAAAAAUUCUUAAAGAAUACUCAUCUAUCCCCAAGUAUUCUUGUUAUCCUAAUUUAUAAAUCACAAACUCAAAUCUACAAUAUUUCCCAGAAAAUUAAAACCUUCCAAAAAUAACAGUUUUUAAGAAAAUUAUUUAAAAAUACAACCUAUUGAUGAACAUUUCUUAAAGAAUACUAAUCUAUCCACAAAUAUUCUUGUUAUCCUAAUUUAUAAAUCACAAUCUCAAAUCUACAAUAUUUUUCAGGUAAAUGAAAACUUUCCAAAAAUAGCAGGUUUUAAGAAAAUUAUUUAAAAAUACAACAUAUUGAUGAAAAAAUCUUAAAGAAUACUCAUCUAUCCACAAAUAUUUUUGUUAUCCUAAUUUAUAAAUCACAAACCCAAAUCUACAAUAUUUCUCAAGAAAAUGAAAACUUUCCAAAAAUGACAGUUUUUAAGAAAAUUAUUUAAAAAUACAAAAUAUUGAUGAAAAAUUCUUAAAGAAUACUCAUCUAUUCACAAAUAUUCUUGUUAUCCUAAUUUAUAAAUCACAAUCUCAAAUCUACAAUAUUUCUCAAGAAAAUGAAAACUUUCCAAAAAUAACAAUUUUUAAGAAAAUUAUUUAACAAUACAACAUAUUGAUGAAAAAUUCUUAAAGAAUACUCAUCUAUCCACAAGUAUUCUUGUUAUCCUAAUUUAUAAAU